UACGAAGGACCCGAGCGUUAUCCGGAUUUAUUGGGUUUAAAGGGUGUGUAGGCGGAUUUAUAAGUCAGUGGUGAAAUCUCCCCGCUCAACGGGGAAACUGCCAUUGAAACUAUUUAUCUUGAGUACAUUUGAGGCGGGCGGAAUGUGUCAUGUAGCGGUGAAAUGCUUAGAUAUGACAUAGAACACCGAUAGCGUAGGCAGCUUACUACACAAAUAUUGACACUGAGGCACGAAAGCGUGGGGAUCAAACAGG
rnacentral:rRNA from 1 species